rnacentral:lncRNA from 1 species
CACCAACCGAAGAGUACACAGGGAACAACCAAUGGCCCCAGCAGCACAUAUAGCAGAGGACGGCUUUGUCGGGCAUUAAUGGGAGGAGAUGCCAGUGCUCGAUGCCCCCAUGUAGGAGAAUGUCAGGGAAGAGAGGUCUAUUGUGUUAACAUUUUCUCCAUGAUUGAGGAAGAAGGUAAACAACUCGAAAUAGCUUUGGAAAGUUCUGGAAACCAAGCAGGUUCACCAGGCCCUGCUCUGCCCCAGUAAGCAAUAUGAGCUGAGAAUUCCUCUCACGUGAGAGGGAACUGAGCCAUCAAGAAAACUUUCAGAGGAGAAAGCUGCAGAGACCCAGAGACCAGACAGCUGCCUAGAAGAAGCAGAGCCUUCCAAGCCGCCUGAGAAAGACUUAGACCAGAGCUACUUGAAAAGGACAGGUCCAAUAAAGCUCCUUGGUUCACC